GAUGAACGCUAGCGGCAGGCCUAAUACAUGCAAGUCGAACGGUAGAUCGGGUAGCAAUACUUGAUUGAGAGUGACGUAAGGGUGCGUAACACGUAUGCAAUCUACCCUCAACAGGAGUAUAGCUCGGGGAAACUCGGAUUAACACUCCAUAACAUUACGAUGUGGCAUCACAUUGUGAUUAAAACUCCGGUGGUUGAGGAUGAGCAUGCGUCUGAUUAGUUAGUUGGAGGUGUAACGGACCCCCAAGACGAUGAUCAGUAGGGGAACGUGAGAGGUUGAUCCCCCACACUGGCACUGAGAUACGGGCCAGACUCCUACGGGAGGCAGCAGUAGGGAAUAUUGGUCAAUGGGUGAGAGCCUGAUCCAGCCAUGCCGCGUGCAGGAAGACGGCCCUAUGGGUUGUAAACUGCUUUUUGUACGGGAAGAAACACCCCCUCGUGAGGGGGCUUGACGGUACCGUAAGAAUAAGGAUCGGCUAACUCCGUGCCAG
rnacentral:rRNA from 1 species